UACGAAGGGGGCUAGCGUUGUUCGGAAUUACUGGGCGUAAAGCGCACGUAGGCGGAUAUUUAAGUCAGGGGUGAAAUCCCAGAGCUCAACUCUGGAACUGCCUUUUUGAUACUGGGUAUCUUGAGUAUGGAAGAGGUAAGUGGAAUUGCGAGUGUAGAGGUGAAAUUCGUAGAUAUUCGCAGGAACACCAGUGGCGAAGGCGGCUUACUGGUCCAUAACUGACGCUGAGGUGCGAAAGC
rnacentral:rRNA from 1 species